AUGAACGCUGGCGGCGUGCCUAAUACCUGCAAGUCGAGCGAACAGACGAGGAGCUUGCUCCUCUGACGUUAGCGGCGGACGGGUGAGUAACACGUGGAUAACCUACCUAUAAGACUGGGAUAACUUCGGGAAACCGGAGCUAAUACCGGAUAAUAUAUUGAACCGCAUGGUUCAAUAGUGAAAGACGGUUUUGCUGUCACUUAUAGAUGGAUCCGCGCCGCAUUAGCUAGUUGGUAAGGUAACGGCUUACCAAGGCAACGAUGCGUAGCCGACCUGAGAGGGUGAUCGGCCACACUGGAACUGAGACACGGUCCAGACUCCUACGGGAGGCAGCAGUAGGGAAUCUUCCGCAAUGGGCGAAAGCCUGACGGAGCAACGCCGCGUGAGUGAUGAAGGUCUUCGGAUCGUAAAACUCUGUUAUUAGGGAAGAACAAAUGUGUAAGUAACUAUGCACGUCUUGACGGUACCUAAUCAGAAAGCCGCGGCUAACUACGUGC
rnacentral:rRNA from 1 species